CGAACUGCUCGGCGCGGCCGGACAGUUGCCGUCGCUCGCCGCGGCGAUCGUCGACGGCUUCGACGAUCCGCGCCGGUUCGCACCCUGGUGGUUCGA
rnacentral:tRNA from 1 species